rnacentral:rRNA from 1 species
CAGUCGCCGCGGUAAUACGUAGGUGGCAAGCGUUGUCCGGAAUUAUUGGGCGUAAAGGGCUCGCAGGCGGUUUCUUAAGUCUGAUGUGAAAGCCCCCGGCUCAACCGGGGAGGGUCAUUGGAAACUGGGUAACUUGAGUGCAGAAGAGGAGAGUGGAAUUCCAUGUGUAGCGGUGAAAUGCGUAGAGAUGUGGAGGAACACCAGUGGCGAAGGCGACUCUCUGGUCUGUAACUGACGCUGAGGAGCGAAAGCGUGGGGAGCGAACAGGAUUAGAUACCCCCGUAGUCCCUGUCUCUUAUCC